UACGGAGGGGGCUAGCGUUGUUCGGAAUUACUGGGCGUAAAGCGUGCGCAGGCGGUUCGUUGUGUCGGUGGUGAAAUCCCCGGGCUUAACCUGGGAAUGGCCAUGGAAACUGGCGAACUGGAGUGUGGCAGAGGGGGGUGGAAUUCCGCGUGUAGCAGUGAAAUGCGUAGAGAUGCGGAGGAACACCGAUGGCGAAGGCAGCCCCCUGGGCUAACACUGACGCUCAGGCACGAAAGCGUGGGGAGCAAACAGG
rnacentral:rRNA from 1 species